GUAAUCCUCGGGAAUAAUCUGGGACAAGGACUAGUGACACGCUUCAUCCAGGUGGUAACCAGAAGCCAAACACGAAGAGAGGUGACCCAGGCUACAGAUAUGGUCCAGAAUCAGCCUACCCAGACAAUGGGACGAGACCAUCACAAUGCUGACGGGUUAUCCAGACGUGAGGAAACAAAUGCCAGACUUCGCAGACCUUCGGGCCGAGACAACAGUCAGGACUCCAACAUUGGCAUCAUGCCUGUCUCCUCGAUUUAAGAAGGGGGAGGUAUGUGAGGAGACCAGGGAAAGGGAUGUCUAGGACAUGCUUUCAUGUUAAAAAGGAAAGAGUUAAUCCUAUGGCCCAAGUUCUGAGUUCUUAAAUUGAAGCCCUCAGUCUGCAGAAGUCACACACAGGAAGUAUCCCAGAAGCAUACAGCAGGGGAGUGUUUCUUUUAGAAAAGCCCUCCUCCUUCCCCUCUGGAAAGACUGACAGCAUGAUCCACCAAUCAGAAAGGAGGAGAGAGAAGGAACCAGCAAGGGGGAAUUGUGGGGAGAGGAAGUGGCUGGGAGAAGGAGACUGUGUGUGUGUGGAGGUGAUGGUGCACAGCUAGACUCACUGAAGGUUGGGGUGUCGUCCCCUCUCAGUGUCAUCAGUGACCAGCCACUCUGUGUGCCCUGCUACAGCUGUCAUUACUGCCCAGGACUGGAGGAGAUAUACAGCAGCUGGUAAGGACUUUGCUGAACUCUGAGUGGACAUUAUUAGUAUAACCCUGCUUGCUGUUCACUGGAUUUCUGGGUCUCCCUGAAUAAAGAUCACCUUGAUUUUCAUUAUAA